GAAGGAAAUAAAUAUAAAUGCGAAUCUAUAAUGGGACUAUUUUCACGUGUGCGAAUUUAGUACCCCUCACGUGUGUGGCGUGCGGCUUGACAGAUAAGAAUAUUAACGUACGCUUUUUUGACGUAUAUACGUCGCGUAUAAUCGCACUUUCUACGAUCUAUACUCUUUCAUUACGCUCAUAUGCUACGUAUAUGAAUCAUGUUUACGAACACUUGUUGCAAGAGUGCGCUAAUAUUAAUUAUAUCGUGGAUGAAGACAUAAAUACGGUUAAUGACGUGGAUGCGAAGAGCCGGUCGUUCGUCGUUAUCGGAGAAACAAUGGCGAAACACUUAACGAGGAACAAGACCGACAUGAUGACUUCGGGCAAUACCUUUAAAAUCGUGUAAUGGGUUUACAGGCAUAGCGAAUUUUAUGAAGCGAUGAUUGGCGAUUGCCAAAACCAAUUGGCGAUUCAGCAGCUGCUACCGCAUCAAAAGUACCGGCGGCUAACGACUUCCUAUCGCUAUACUUUCACGGAAGACAUAUUGAAGGACUUCACUGCGAAGGAGGAAAUAUGUUCGAUGUUACCAAGGAAACAAGUCGCAUCCCUUACGGAACCAUGGUACAAAAUGGCCGACCGUGUAUCCAUGGUAACACUCUUUCGCAGCAUCAGACAUAUUCGUGGCAAGAAGGGAUGAAAGAAAUAGCGUGCGCGCCAUGUGAAUCAAGGAGGGGUGGCCCCUCAGAUGACGACGAAUACGAGCUGACAUAUUUCUCGUAUCUCCCAUCGAACGAGCCAUCUAAUCUACAGACCCCGUUUCUUCACCACGAGGAUGACGAUGACGAUGAGACCGUUAUUAUGUGCUCGAGAAUUUGCAAUCCAAUGCAGUUUAUGCGGUCGUAAAAGGGGUGCGACUUAGUCCGUCCUUUUUUCUUAAUCUACGGGGAACGUAUGCGGGAAACCGCCAAAUGGUCUCCUAAACGUGAAUCAUCAAUAAGUUUUCUUUCUCUAAGCGAAAGUUACCACGAUGGUAUAAACACAAGUCAAAAUGGUGACGUUAAAAUUAUGAAUUAACAAUCGGAUGAUGCGCUAACGUCUGGUGUCAGCAUAAAACGCACGUAACUAAUCGUGGGAUACUACAUACGAAGUCGUCUGCAGAGAAUAAAUAAUGGUUUCCAGGUUACAUGGAUGUUUCGUAUCUACGGUUAAGAGAUCGUUCGCCGGAGAAAGAUACUGGACGACGGCCUCUAUAAAAUAUAUUAGGUACGACCGAGGGCCAUGUUAUGGUUGAAGCGCCAAUGCGGAAUAAGUCACGGGAGGGUUGCUACCUCGGGAACCAAAUGCCUCAAGCUGCAGCUUGUAAAAGUCUGCUUGGCCAAUAGCAAAGAGCCGCGACGCUCCCCUAAUAUAGAAGAGCGCCCCUUUUGCUCCUCAAGUUUCAGUAGUACCACGGAUAAUGGCGAACAUUCCGCGACUGAUAUACUUCUACGACUUCCAUCGACUUGUGUUGUUAAGCUGUCAUAAAUUAAUCUCGUAAAAGAAGGACAGGACAAAAUGGAA